ACACUCCUACGGGAGGCAGCAGUGGGGAAUAUUGCACAAUGGGCGCAAGCCUGAUGCAGCCAUGCCGCGUGUAUGAAGAAGGCCUUCGGGUUGUAAAGUACUUUCAGCGGGGAGGAAGGCAAUACGGUUAAUAACCGUGUUGAUUGACGUUACCCGCAGAAGAAGCACCGGCUAACUCCGUGCCAGCAGCCGCGGUAAUACGGAGGGUGCAAGCGUUAAUCGGAAUUACUGGGCGUAAAGCGCACGCAGGCGGUCUGUCAAGUCGGAUGUGAAAUCCCCGGGCUCAACCUGGGAACUGCAUGCGAAACUGGCAGGCUUGAGUCUUGUAGAGGGGGGUAGAAUUCCAGGUGUAGCGGUGAAAUGCGUAGAGAUCUGGAGGAAUACCGGUGGCGAAGGCGGCCCCCUGGACAAAGACUGACGCUCAGGUGCGAAAGCGUGGGGAGCAAACAGGAUUAGAAACCCGGGUAGUCCC
rnacentral:rRNA from 1 species